AUUGAACGCUGGCGGCAGGCCUAACACAUGCAAGUCGAGCGGAGCGGCGGACGGGUGAGUAAUGCCUAGGAAUCUGCCUGGUAGUCGGGGAUAACGUCCGUAAACGGGCGCUAAUACCGCAUACUAUCAGAUGAGCCUCGGUCGGAUUCGCUAGUUGGUGGGGUAAAGGCCUACCAAGGCGACGAUCCGUAACUGGUCUGAGAGGAUGAUCAGUCACACUGGAACGGAGACACGGGCCAGACUCCUACGUGAGGAAUCAGUGGGGAAUAUUGGACAAUGGGCGGAAGCCUGAUCCAGCAAUGCCGCGUGUGUGAAGAAGGUCUUCGGAUUGUAAAGCACUUUAAGUUGGGAGGCGUUACCAACAGAAUAAGCACCGGCUAACUUCGUGCCAGCAGCCGCGGUAAUUC
rnacentral:rRNA from 1 species